ensembl:snoRNA
CUGCAUCAAUUAUAUUAAAACAAACACUGUGUCUGCUAGGGCUUCCACUACAAAUGCAAGAAAAAUGUGUCCUCAUGCUUUCUGUCUGAUUGUGGCAGCCCAGAUUGAAUGGGGGAAUACAGGG